rnacentral:rRNA from 1 species
UGAACGCUGGCGGCGUGCCUAAUACAUGCACGUCGAGCGAACAGACGAGGAGCUUGCUCCUCUAACGUUAGCGGCGGACGGGUGAGUAACACGUGGAUAACCUACCUAUAAGACUGGGAUAACUUCGGGAAACCGGAGCUAAUACCGGAUAAUAUAUUGAACCGCAUGGUUCAAUAGUGAAAGACGGUUUUGCUGUCACUUAUAGAUGGAUCCGCGCCGCAUUAGCUAGUUGGUAAGGUAACAGCUUACCAAGGCAACGAUGCGUAGCCGACCUGAGAGGGUGAUCGGCCACACUGGAACUGAGACACGGUCCAGACUCCUACGGGAGGCAGCAGUAGGGAAUCUUCCGCAAUGGGCGAAAGCCUGACGGAGCAACGCCGCGUGAGUGAUGAAGGUCUUCGGAUCGUAAAACUCUGUUAUUAGGGAAGAACAAAUGUGUAAGUAACUAUGCACGUCUUGACGGUACCUAAUCAGAAAGCCACGGCUAACUACGUG